ACGAAGGGUGCAAGCGUUACUCGGAAUCACUGGGCGUAAAGCGUGCGUAGGCGGUUUCUUAAGUCUGUCGUGAAAGCCCUGGGCUCAACCUGGGAAUGGCGAUGGAUACUGGGAGGCUAGAGUGUGAUAGAGGAUGGUGGAAUUCCCGGUGUAGCGGUGAAAUGCGUAGAGAUCGGGAGGAACACCAGAGGCGAAGGCGGCGACCUGGAUAGGCACUGACACUCAACUGCGAAAGCGUGGGGAGCAAACAGGA
rnacentral:rRNA from 1 species